GACGAACGCUGGCGGCGUGCUUAACACAUGCAAGUCGAACGGAAAGGCCCUGCUUUUGUGGGGUGCUCGAGUGGCGAACGUGUGAGUAACACGUGAGUAACCUGCCCUUGACUUUGGGAUACUUCAGGAAACUGGGGCUAAUACCGGAUAGGAGCUCCUGCUGCAUGGUGGGGGUUGGAAAGUUUCGGCGGUUGGGGAUGGACUCGCGGCUUAUCAGCUUGUUGGUGGGGUAGUGGCUUACCAAGGCUUUGACGGGUAGCCGGCCUGAGAGGGUGACCGGCCACAUUGGGACUGAGAGACGGCCCAGACUCCAACGGGAGGCAGCAGUGGGGAAUAUUGCACAAUGGGCGGAAGCCUGAUGCAGCAACGCCGCGUGCGGGAUGACGGCCUUCGGGUUGUAAACCGCUUUCGCCUGUGACGAAGCGUGAGUGACGGUAAUGGGUAAAGAAGCACCGGCUAACUACGUG
rnacentral:rRNA from 1 species